rnacentral:rRNA from 1 species
AUGUCAAUUCUGCUCUCUCAAGAGCUGCUCAUCUCCACAACACUCGUGGUACUUGUUCCCCUAUACUACUUGUGCUUGAGGAACCAAUCAGUGCUGCCCACAAACUGGCCAAUACUCCACAUGUUCCCUUCCUUCAUGUCCAACCUCCACAACUUGCAUGACUAUUUCACCCUAGUCUUUGCUGGAUCCGGCCACAGCUUCAGGGCGCAUGGCCCACCUGGCAGCGGCAUGAGGUUCUUCAUCACAUGUGACCCUGCCAACGUCCGGCACAUCUUCACAACCAACUACGCCAACUUUCCCAAGGGUACGAGGUUCGCCGAUACAUUCGACAUCCUGGAUGGAAGCCUCUUCACCAUUGAUGGCGAGCCGUGGCGUCGGCAUCGCACAAAAGUCAAGGGCUUGCUUGCUAGCCCACGACUAGUUGCCAGUAUGGUGGCUUGCUGCUGCCGGAAGGUGGAUAAUGACCUCCUCCCGUUGUUUACCCACAUGUCAAACACAAACAUUCCAUUCGACAUGCAACAUAUGAUGUCCAGGUUUAUGUUUGACCUGGCUGCUAUGCCUCUCUUCGGUGUUGAUCCUGGCCUCCUAUCAUCGGAAAUGCCACCCAUGGUUGUCGCGGUUGCCUUGGACAUAGUCAUGGAGGUGGUAUGCUUUCGGCACAUGAUGCCAUCUUAUUGCUGGAAACUGAUGAGGUGGUUAAACAUCGGUCCUGAGAAAAAGCUCAAUGUGGAGCACACACUGCUACGAAGGUUCAUCAAGGAGAUGAUGGAGAGGAGGAAUAUCAAGACGUGGCAAGUUAAUAAUGAUGAGGAAGAAGAAGGUGUGGAUAUUGUAUCUUUCUUCCUCGAUGACCCAUGCUACGCUAAUGAUGACUUGUUUUGUGCUAUCACCAUUGGCUACAUGCUCGUUGCGAGGGACACAGUUGGAAUAGCCUUGACAUGGAUCUUCUACAACCUCGCCCAGAACCCUAACAUCGUUUCAAUCAUCCGCAACGAACUCUCACCGGUUGCAUCACAUAAAGUAGUAGCUGGUGUUGGAACUAUGGUGAUAUUUGAGCCGGAUGAGACCAGAUCUUUAUCCUAUCUUAGUUCUGCCUUGUAUGAGACUCUUAGGUUGUACCCGCCGGCGCCUACUGAGCUCAAGACGGUGGUCGCUGAUGAUACAAUGCCGAGUGGCCAUGAGGUGCAUGCCGGCGACGCCAUCUUUAUUUCUCUUCAUUCCAUGGGGAGAAUGGAGGGCAUAUGGGGUAAGGACUGCCUUGACUAUAACCCAGAUAGGUGGCUCUUGAAGGAUGGCAAUGGUCUAAGGUAUGUACCACCUCACAAGUUCCUGGCCUUUAACUCAGGGCCAAGGAUGUGCCUCGGUAAGGAAAUCGCGGUUAUGCAGAUGAUGAUUGUCGUGGCCUCAACGCUAUGGAACUUCGAUGUGCAUCUGGAGAAAGGGCAAAGCAUCGAGCCCAAGGCAUCUUGUAUACUAGAGAUGAAAAACGGGCUUAUGGUUAAGCUGAAGAAGCGAGAAGUGUAA